UACGGGAGGUGCAAGCGUUGUUCGGAUUUACUGGGCGUAAAGGGCGCGUAGGCGGCCACCGCAAGUCGGUUGUGAAAUCUCCGGGCUUAACCCGGAAAGGUCAAUCGAUACUGCGGGGCUAGAGUGCAGAAGGGGCAACUGGAAUUCUCGGUGUAGCGGUGAAAUGCGUAGAUAUCGAGAGGAACACCUGCGGCGAAGGCGGGUUGCUGGGCUGACACUGACGCUGAAGCGCGAAAGCUAGGGGAGCGAACGGG
rnacentral:rRNA from 1 species